UACAGAGGGUGCAAGCGUUAAUCGGACUGACUGGGCGUAAAGCGCGUGUAGGUGGGUAUUUAAGUUAACUGUGAAAGCCCUCGGCUUAACUGAGGAAUGACGGUUAAUACUGAAUGCCUUGAGUGUGGGAGAGGGAAGUGGAAUUUCCGGUGUAGCGGUGAAAUGCGUAGAUAUCGGAAAGAACACCAGUGGCGAAGGCGACUUCCUGGCCCAACACUGACACUGAGAUGCGAAGGCGUGGGGAGCAAACAGG
rnacentral:rRNA from 1 species